GAUGAACGCUGGCGGCGUGCCUAAUACAUGCAAGUCGAGCGAACAGACGAGGAGCUUGCUCCUCUGACGUUAGCGGCGGACGGGUGAGUAACACGUGGAUAACCUACCUAUAAGACUGGGAUAACUUCGGGAAACCGGAGCCAAUACCGGAUAAUAUAUUGAACCGCAUGGUUCAAUGGUGAAAGACGGUUUUGCUGUCACUUAUAGAUGGAUCCGCGCCGCAUUAGCUAGUUGGUAAGGUAACGGCUUACCAAGGCAACGAUGCGUAGCCGACCUGAGAGGGUGAUCGGCCACACUGGAACUGAGACACGGUCCAGACUCCUACGGGAGGCAGCAGUAGGGAAUCUUCCGCAAUGGGCGAAAGCCUGACGGAGCAACGCCGCGUGAGUGAUGAAGGUCUUCGGAUCGUAAAACUCUGUUAUUAGGGAAGAACAAAUGUGUAAGUAACUAUGCACGUCUUGACGGUACCUAAUCAGAAAGCCACGGCUAACUACGUG
rnacentral:rRNA from 1 species